AAUUAUGAUUCCAAACCGAGUUACGUCACGACGUUUCGAUUGUUAUUAUCCACAAUCUUCGGGUGAUAACUUCAACAAACGUGGUUGGCUGUGGAUCUCGUAACAACAGAGAUAAAGUCAGGUUUUACUCUGUUUCUACAGUUUCGAAACACAAGUUUUUGACUAAUAAAAAAGAGUUAUCCAGAAAGCGAAGAACCCUAUGGUUAGCUGCAAUCGAACCAUAUGAUCUCAUAGAUUCGAAGAUCAAGUAUCAGAAAGUCUGCAGCAGAUAUUUUAUAACAAGCAAACCUGCUUCUAUAGAAGAUGAAACCAACCCUUCGCAGAACAUGGAGGACAUUCAUCACAAUAUGUUCGAAAAACUUCUAAAGAUGUUGAUAGAAAAGCGAGGUUGGAUAAAAGAAAAUUCUCUCAAAAUGAACCCCAGUCUUAUAUGGAUAUUGACUGAUAAUGAUGAACCUAGAGAUGGACAUGACACAGGCAUUUUAACACGGACUGAUUUAACGAAGGAAGACCUGUCUCUAAAAUUUGAACAACUGACUGAAAAGACUAUAUCAUAAAUUGUAUGUUGAGUGUUGGAAUAGUAAAACU